CCUACGGGAGGCAGCAGUAGGGAAUUUUCGGCAAUGGGGGGAACCCUGACCGAGCAACGCCGCGUGAACGAAGAAGUUAUUCGUAAUGUAAAGUUCUUUUAACAGGGAAGAAAGAGAAAUUUGACGGUACCUGAAGAAUAAGCUCCGGCUAACUACGUGCCAGCAGCCGCGGUAAUACGUAGGGAGCGAGCGUUAUCCGGAAUUAUUGGGCGUAAAGGGUGCGUAGAUGGCAUAGUAAGUCUUUUGUAAAAAUGCUGGGCUCAACCCAGUAGGGCAAAAGAUACUGCAAAGCUAGAGUAUGAAAGAGGCAAGUGGAACUACAUGUGUAGCGGUAAAAUGCGUAGAUAUAUGUAAGAACACCAGUGGCGAAGGCGGCUUGCUGGGUCGAUACUGACAUUGAGGCACGAAAGCGUGGGGAGCAAACAGGAUUAGAUACCCGGGUAGUC
rnacentral:rRNA from 1 species